rfam:Arabidopsis lyrata subsp. lyrata unplaced genomic scaffold ARALYscaffold_1, whole genome shotgun sequence.
AGUGCAAGUGAAGAUGAAAAGAUAGGGACAUCAUAAUUAGAAUGAUGAGCUAUGUCUAAACGGGAAUCUCUCUUAUGCAGA